rnacentral:lncRNA from 1 species
GGUAGUCUGUCCUGUAGGAAUAGCCACAGGUUGAACACUGCUUUUGGUCUGGCUUGGUUUUGUAUGAUUAAGUUCUUCCAUGGGACUGUCGGCACUUCUUGCAACUGUGACUGGUACAACUGUUUAGUAGUACAUUUCUGAUGUUUCCAGUUCUGGAUCCUUUGUAGAGUGUCCCUGGAUUGGAUGAUCUUCUAACCAUCUAGCUAGCUUGGGUAGGAAUUAGCAUGGACUCUAUUGGCAUGU